GGCAGAUGAGGUAUUCAGUUGUUCUCUAUAGAAGAUUAUCUGCAAAGCUUUAGCAUCAGGCUGCCUAUGGAAAAAGAAAAAGUGGAGUUUACCCACCAGUUGCAUCUGAUGGCAGAGCAAUUGUAAACCAAGCAGAUCUGCAUGACUCACUACAGCUCUCCCUGAGCUUGAUGGAUCUUUUAAAUUCUAACCCUAUUAUUUCUAACCAUCUACUUCAGACUGCUUCUGCCCAGGAUGAGCCAAUUCAGCUCUUCAUGGCAGACUACCUGGGGAGAGCUGGUCCACAACUCAGGUGUGCUCACACGCUGCAGUAGCACAAGCAUGAAACUGAUGGUCCUUUCCAGAGGCCAACCUCUACAUAAGCCUGACUCAGCAUAAUUCACAACACCAGGGCAGAAUUUCUCAAAGGCAACAGCACAAUUGCCACUGAGAAUCUGGCUUUCUGACUUCCAGAAGAAAAGAAAUUGAAAGCAAGCUGCAGAUUCUUUGCUAAUGUACUACUGAAAAUACCAUGAGAUUAAACUCAUUCCUUU